AUGUCCCCAGGAUCCCACUGCCCGUGCGGGUGCGCUCCCUGAAAGGGGUGAUGUGGCUGUAGCUGCCAAGCAGGCAACAGCAGCGGCCUUUUCCUGUUUGCUUUAUUCCCAGGGGUUAUUUCUGGGCUGCAGGGAGGCUGCACCGUGAUGUCAGUGUGUAAACAGGGAGAUGGACAGGAACAAGGAGUGGAGGAUGAUGGAGACCCAAGGCCAGAACAGAAAUAGAAGGAAAUGACCAGCUUGGAGUCUAAGCAGACAUGGAUACGUGUUUCUCUCUGGAAACCACUGGAACACAUCAAAGAACAGAGUUAAUCACGUACAACUGAGUAGCUUCAGAAUCACAGAAGACAGUUUAUUUCAAACAUAUGGAAAAGAUGAGGAAUGUUCUCCCAGAGAUAACCAUCUUUAUAACCUGCAGUUGAAAGGAUCUUCUUUUCCAGCUAUUGGACACUGCUUUUGUAUAUUAGCUUUAUGACGGUCAUGAUGAAUCAUUGUGGGGUGCACUACCCUGGUGCUAUUUGCCUCAGCUAUAAAUACAGGCAGAGCUACCUGGAGUUCCACGGAGACUGCAAAAAACUUCCUGCAAAGAUGUGAGAUGUCCCUACCUGAGGAAUGGUGUCUCUGGGCCUGGUGGCAGGUGGUCUGCACGCACGGGGAUGAAGAUGGGCAAGAGCACAAGGACUUGGACAUAUCCUGUACCAGCAUCCACAAGCUAUGACAGCUUCUGCCUUGCUUCCAGCCUGGGCAGCAAAUCCCAUUUCCUCAGUGGGAGCCCAGUGGAGAGGCAAGUGGAGUGGCUGAAAUCUCCUACAGAUGGGAUUACAGAUGCUUGAAGAAGGUAAAGUUUCUUUAUGCUUUAGUGAGUCAUGAGGUACCAGAGCUGGCAUGCUCUGGAGUUGGGAUAUUUAGCUGUGAAAUAAGUGAGACCCAGCAUGACCCUGGGGGGAAGGAGGUCUGAGGAGACAAUUUGCUGCAGGGAUGGUAUGGCUAUUGGCACCUUCCUCUUAGCUGGAUUAGCUUCCUUGCCCUUCCUGGCUUUUUGGAGUGUGGUUAUUUUUUGGUUUUGUUUUGUUUUGGAGUUUGGGGUUUUUUUUGGUAGAUAAAAAGAGCAGGUGUCACUGUCACAUUGAGGCCAAACCACUUCUUCAGCUAAGGGAAACAACAGUAAAAGGGCAUUUGAUGUACCAAGGGGAGACCUUGUGGUGGUUUUCCCCUCACGAGGGGAAGCAGAGGGACAGGUACUGAUCUCUUCACCCUUGUGACCAGUGAGAGAGCUCGAGGAAAUGGCAUGCAGCUGAGUCAGGGCGGGUUUAGCCUGGAUAUCAGGAAAAGGCUCUUCACCCAGAGGGUGGUUGAGCCCUGAACAGGCUCCUCAGAGAAGUGGUCACAGCACCAAAACUGGCAGAGUUCAAGAAGCAUUUGCACAGCACUCUCAGUGAGAUUUUUGGGGUGUCCUGUGUAGGAACAGCAGUUCUACUAUAGAGUUGGACUGGAUCCCUUCCAGAGUAGAGGUUGGACUGGCUAUGUGAGAAACACUAAGGCAGCACAAAAAGAUAAGAAAGAUAUCCAAGGAAAAGGAGACAGGAGGAUACCCAGCAAUGUCACAGGUUUCAUGCUGUCUGUACAUUUUGUCAUAGUUUCUCCCUGUGCAGAGCAAUACCUGCCCUCACUGACCACUGUAAGGGACAUUACUCAGGAGGAUGAGAGCUGAUGAGUGCAUGAGCAGUUCCCCCUCUCUCAGGGAUGCUUCUCUGACAGCUCUCCCUCCCAUUUCAGCCUCACUGCCAGCAGCAUUUCCAUGAGAAAAUGCUAGUUUGGCCAACUGCAUCAAUUCCACCAGAAACACCGAGAGAAGCCACGGUGGGUGUCCAGCCCCUCCGGCAUGCAGCCUGCCUGCCUCCCUGCAGUCCCACUGCCAGACCAGUUCCUUGACUUCACAGUGCUUUUAAAUUUCAGUUUCUCUGGAAAUGCUGCUUACUGAAUUAAAAUUUUAAAAGGAAUCUUUCUCCUGCAUGAUUAUUUCUAACUGUUGCAUUUGGGGUGUUUAAUUAUUUAGAAGAGCAAGAUCUGAGCUGAACAAAAAGUAUCAGUACCCACAGACACUUGGCAAACAACAAGAAUUUCAAU